UCUUAUUGAGUAAUAACUGUUUGUGACACUUUUAGCUGCAAUGACUUAAACCAAACACUUCCUGUAGUUGUUGAUCAGUCUCUCACGUCGCUGUGGAGGAAUUUUAGGCCACUCUUCCAGCAACAUUUGUGGGUUUUCAAGAAUGAACUGCUUGUUUAAAGUCCUGCCACAACAUCUGAAUUGGAAUUAGGGUCUGGACUUCGACGAGGACAAUGACCCAACACAGCUCCAGGCUGUGUAAGGGCUAUUUGACCAAGAAGGAGAGUGAUGGAGUACUGCAUCAGAUGACCUGACCUCCACAAUCCCCCAACCUCAACCCAUUUGAGAUGGAUUGGGAUGAGUUGGACUGCAGAGUGAAGCUAAAGCAGCCAACAAGUGCUCAGCAAUUUGUGGCAACUCCUUCAAGACUGUUGGAAAAGCAUUCCAGGUGAAGCUGGUUGAGAGAAUGCCAAGAGUAUCAAAGCUGUCAUCAAGGCAACGGUUGGCUAGUUUGAAGAAUCUAAAAUACUUUUUGAUUUGUUUAACACCUUUUUGGUCACUACACAAUUCCAUAUGUGUUAUUUCAUAUUUUGAUGCCUUCACUAUUAUUCUACAAUGUAGAAAAUAGAGUAAGUAAAAUAAGUAAGUAGGUGUGUCCAAACGUUUGACUGGUACUGUAUAUGAGCAAGACAUUUAAAGAUUUUGGUUUGUUCUUCCAGUUAAUCUACACUAUUCUGCAUUUAAAAAUGCAUUCCAUUACUGCAUGUACAAAACGCUCUCACAGACCCUUAACUUAGCAUACACUCUUCAGGGAAAAAAGGUGUGAUCUAGAAUCUAAAUGUGUUCUUCAGCUGUCCCCGUAGGAGAACUCUUUGAAGAAUCAUUUUGGGUUCCAGGAAGAACCCUUUCUGCAGAGGACUCUACAUGUAACUAAAAAAUGGUUCUAUCUGGAACCAAAAAGGGUUCUCCUAUGGGGACAGUCGAAGAACCAUUUUGGAACCCUUUUUUCUAAAGAGUGUACCUAAUUGCCCUGCUGAUGACCCAUCAACAGUGGAAAAUUUAUUCAAACCGGUUUGGUAGGUAUUUGCUACCAGAACAUUCAGAGACUUACUGUAUGCCUAAUUCCAACUGACUGGAUAAAGGAAAGAACCAGACAAUCAGGUUAGCUAUUCGUGUGAGGGCACUUGUCACAACGACACUAGAUGUCCUUGAGAUUAUUCAUAGAUGUCAUUGAUUCAGCCCCUAUUGUCUACAGUAUAUAAGAGUAUAUCACCAACCCAACAGAAAUACACAGAAGAAAGGGUGAAUGCACAGAAACAGAUUUGAGCAGAAAAGGAGCUUCUGACAAUGGGGAGUCAAAGAACGCGUUCCGUGUUGCUUCUGUUGACGAUGGGUAUGGUGACCACUGCUCUUGCUGCAACUACUACUAUUGCAGACAUCACUUCAACGGUUGGCUCUUCAUCAGCCACUGGUGAGUUUACAUCAAUCCUCUCUGACUGACUGAAUUGUAACCAUCUCUCAUCUUAAUCAUAUAGUAUGUUAUAGUAUGGUAUAGUAUGUUAUAUACACUACCGUUCAAAAGUUUUGGGUCAAUUAGAAAUGUCCUUGUUUUUGAAAGAAAAGCACAUUUUUUGUCCAUUAAAAUAACAUCAAAUUGAUCAGAGAUACAGUGUAGACAUUGUUAAUGUUGUAAAUUACUAUUCUAGCUGGAAACGGCAGAUUUUUUAAAUGGAAUAUCUACAUAGGCAUACAGAGGCCCAUUAUCAGCAAACAACACCCCUGUGUUCCAAUGGCACGUUGUGUUCGCUAAUCCAAGUUAAUAAUUUUAAAAGGUUAUCUGAUCAUUAGAAAACACUUUUGCUAUUAUGUUAGCAGAGCUGAAAACUGUUGUUCUAGUUAAAGAAGCAAAAAAACUGUCCUUCUUUAGACUAUUUGAGUAUUUGGAGCAUCAGAAUUUGUGGGUUCAAUUACAGGCUCAAAAUGGCCAGAAACAAAUAACUUUCUUCUGAAACUCAUCAGUCUAUUUUUGUUCUGAGAAAUGAAGGCUAUUCCAUGUGAGAAUUUGCGUCCCUCUGCAACUGGAUCUUCGACAUCCUGACAGGUCACCCAUAGGUGGUAAGUGUAGGUAACAACACAUCUGCCACACUGACCGUCAACACGGGGGCCCCUCAGGGGUGCAUGCUUAGUCCCCUCAUCUACUCCCAGUUCACUGCAUGGCCGCGCCCGACACCAGCACCAUCAUCAAGUUUGCUGAUGACACGACUGUGCUAGGCCUGAUCCCUGACAACGAUGAGACAGCCUAUAGGGAGGAGGUCAGUGACAGGGCACUGUGGUGCCAUGACAACAUCCUCUCCCUCAACGUCAGCCAGAGAAAGGAGCUGAUUGUGGUCUACAGGUAAUUAAGGGCCGAGCCCCCUGGGCUCUAGUGGAUCGGGUCGAGAGCUUCAAGUUCCUCGGUGUCCCCGUCACUAAGGAUGUAACAUGGUCCAGACACACCAAGAUAGUCAUGAAGAGGGCACGACAACAACUUUUCCUCCCCGGGAGACUGAAAAUAUUUGGCAUGUGUCCCCCCCAGAUCCUCAAAAAGUUCCACAGCUGCACCAUUGAGAGCAUCUUGACCGGUUGCAUCACCGCCUGGUAUGGCUAAUGCUCGGCAUCUGACCGUAAGGCCCUACAGAGGAUAGUGCAUAUGGCCCAGCACAUCACUGGGGCCAAGCUUCCUGCCAUCCAGGACCUAAAUACUAGGCGUGUCCGAGGAAGGCCCUAAAACAUUGGCAAAGACUCCAGCCACCCAAGUCAUAGACCGUUCUCUCUGCUACCGCACGGCAAGCGAUACAGGAGUGCCAAAUCCAGGUCCAAAAGGUUCCUUAACAGCUUCUACCCCCUUGAUAAAAGACUCCUGAACAAUUAAUGAAAUGGGCACCCGGACUAUUUACAUUUUACACUGCUGCUACUCGCUGUUUAUUGUCUAUACAUAGUCACUUUAUACCUACCUACAUGUACAAAUUACCUUGGCUAACCUGUACCCAGUACAGUGACUCGGUACCGGUACCCCCUGUAUAUAGUCUCGUUAUUGUUCAUUUAUUGUGUUAUUUUUGUAUUUUUUAUUUUUUAUUUUAAACUUUAGUUUAUUUAGAAAUAUUUUCUUAACUCUAUUUAGUGAAUGGCAUUGUUGGUUAAAGGCCUUGUAAGUAAGCAGGUAGCCUAGUGGUUAGAGGCAGGUAGCCUAGUGGUUAGAGGCAGGUAGCCUAGUGGUUAGAGGCAGGUAGCCUAGUGGUUAGAGGCAGGUAGCCUAGUGGUUAGAGGCAGGUAGCCUCGUGGUUAGAGGCAGGUAGCCUCGUGGUUAGAGGCAGGUAGCCUCGUGGUUAGAGGCAGGUAGCCUCGUGGUUAGAGGCAGGUAGCCUAGUGGUUAGAGGCAGGUAGCCUAGUGGUUAGAGGCAGGUAGCCUAGUGGUUAGAGGCAGGUAGCCUAGUGGUUAGAGGCAGGUAGCCUAGUGGUUAGAGGCAGGUAGCCUAGUGGUUAGAGGCAGGUAGCCUAGUGGUUAGAGGCAGGUAGCCUAGUGGUUAGAGGCAGGUAGCCUAGUGGUUAGAGGCAGGUAGCCUAGUGGUUAGAGCAGGUAGCCUAGUGGUUAGAGCAGGUAGCCUAGUGGUUAGAGGCAGGUAGCCUAGUGGUUAGAGGCAGGUAGCCUAGUGGUUAGAGGCAGGUAGCCUAGUGGUUAGAGGCAGGUAGCCUAGUGGUUAGAGGCAGGUAGCCUAGUGGUUAGAGCAGGUAGCCUAGUGGUUAGAGGCAGGUAGCCUAGUGGUUAGAGGCAGGUAGCCUAGUGGUUAGAGACAGGUAGCCUAGUGGUUAGAGGCAGGUAGCCUAGUGGUUAGAGGCAGGUAGCCUAGUGGUUAGAGACAGGUAGCCUAGUGGUUAGAGACAGGUAGCCUAGUGGUUAGAGGCAGGUAGCCUAGUGGUUAGAGGCAGGUAGCCUAGUGGUUAGAGGCAGGUAGCCUAGUGGUUAGAGGCAGGUAGCCUAGUGGUUAGAGACAGGUAGCCUAGUGGUUAGAGACAGGUAGCCUAGUGGUUAGAGACAGGUAGCCUAGUGGUUAGAGACAGGUAGCCUAGUGGUUAGAGGCAGGUAGCCUAGUGGUUAGAGGCAGGUAGCCUAGUGGUUAGAGGCAGGUAGCCUAGUGGUUAGAGGCAGGUAGCCUAGUGGUUAGAGGCAGGUAGCCUAGUGGUUAGAGGCAGGUAGCCUAGUGGUUAGAGGAGGCAGGUAGCCUAGUGGUUAGAGGAGGCAGGUAGCCUAGUGGUUAGAGGAGGCAGGUAGCCUAGUGGUUAGAGGAGGCAGGUAGCCUAGUGGUUAGAGGAGGCAGGUAGCCUAGUGGUUAGAGGAGGCAGGUAGCCUAGUGGUUAGAGGAGGCAGGUAGCCUAGUGGUUAGAGGAGGCAGGUAGCCUAGUGGUUAGAGGAGGCAGGUAGCCUAGUGGUUAGAGGCAGGUAGCCUAGUGGUUAGAGGCAGGUAGCCUAGUGGUUAGAGGCAGGUAGCCUAGUGGUUAGAGGCAGGUAGCCUAGUGGUUAGAGGCAGGUAGCCUAGUGGUUAGAUGCAGGUAGCCUAGUGGUUAGAGACAGGUAAUCUAGUGGUUAGAGACAGGUAGCCUAGUGGUUAGAGGCAGGUAGCCUAGUGGUUAGAGGCAGGUAGCCUAGUGGUUAGAGGCAGGUAGCCUAGUGGUUAGAGCGUUGGGUCAGUAACCGAAAGGUUGCUGGAUUGAAUCCCUGAGCUGACAAGGUAAAAAUCUGUCGUUCUGCCCCUGAACAAGGCAGUUAACCCACUGUUCCCUGGUAGGCCAUCAUUGUAAAUAAGAAUUUGUUCUUAACUGACUUGCUGGUUAAAUAAAUGCUGAAACCCUG